rnacentral:tRNA from 1 species
GCGGGUAUUGUAUAACGGCUAUUACAUGAGGUUUCCAACCUCAGGACGGGAGUCCGACUCUCCCUACCCGCUCCA